UAGGUCCGUAGUGUAGCGGUUAUCACGUCGCCCUGUCACGGCGAAGAUCGCGGGUUCGAUUCCCGUCGGGACCGU
rnacentral:tRNA from 1 species